rnacentral:tRNA from 1 species
GGACCCGUAGCUCAGUCUGGAUAGAGCGCUGGCCUUCUAAGCCAGCGGUCGCGGGUUCGAAUCCCGCCGGGUCCG